rnacentral:lncRNA from 1 species
CGGCCUACACCUAGAAGGAAGGCUAGCCUACCUACUUACCCUGAUCGAGUGAUGAGAGAGAGAUUUCGACUACCGUAAAACACUUGAAACUCCUUCACUCUUCGAGGAAAAUGAACUAUCAGAGAACAGUUGUCAAGUCGAAAUAGAAUUGAAUAGAUGAAGAGGGAGAGAAAGGUAGUAUUUAGCCAAAAGAGAAGAAGAAAGAAAGGCAAUAUUCGGCCACAAAAAAAGAGGAAAUAACUAAAGGCUAUUCGACCAAAAUAGAAAGGGCAUAAAGGGAAAAGAAAAAAAACAAAACGAACAAACCUGAGAGGUACUUUGAAGUCUUUGCAAGAUUCAGCACCAAAAGAAAAAGGAGAAAACAAAAAAUACUCACCUACCGAGGCAGACAAAGAGAAAAAUAAAAUAAAAUAAAAACCAAAAGCUCCUCAAAAGUCGAAAAUGACCCCCAAAACUCCCCCUAGCCGAACUCUCAAGGUUGAAUUACCCCCAAACGGUACAACAGUCCCUCUUCUCAAAUUCCUUGAUUUUCUCCUAAAAACUCUCCCCUUAUCCUUCAUUGAUUCACUCCACACAUUUCUCCUCUACUCCCUCUAUAACCAAUUCAAACUCCAUUUAGCAGUGUUCUAGUCCAACUCCACCACCUACCCAGCUCUAGCAACAAAAUAAAUACUCCCAUGCGCAACCUAGGACUUGAACCUCUAACCUCAUAGUUACACUACACGCCACAUUGCCACAAGACCACAAACUAUUUUUGUG